GUUUGGAAUAAAUUGAAGGAUUUUUAACUUGUACUGCAUUAAGAUAAAGUAACGAGAGGAGCGUCGCCCACAGUAACGAAGUAAAAGUACCGUUUUUUUACUAAAAAUGUACUUGAGUAAGAGUAAAAGUACCUAUUUUUAAAUAUACUCUAAAAGUAUUAGUUACCCAAAAAAUUUACUCAAGUAAAUGUAACGAAGUAAAUGUAACUCGUUACUACCCACCUCUGGAAUUACGAGAUAUAAACUCGCAAUUGUGAGAAAAAAGUAAAAAUUGUGAGAUACAAACUCGCAGUUGCGAAAAAAACACGCAAAUGCAAGUUUAUGUCACUCAAUUUUGCGAAAAAAGUCAGAAUUGUGAGUUUAUAUCACACAAUUCUGAGUCUGAAUUCUGGGAUAAAAAGUCACAAUUACCUUUUUUAAUUUUUAUUCAGUGGCAGAAAUGGCAUCCAAACAUUUUGUAGAUGCACUGAGAAAGAUGCUGUGCAGUUGCUCUGUGUUUCUAGUUGUUGGUUAAUGAAAGUUGGCUGGCCUCUUUACUUUCCCAAGAGUAUCCUAUAUGAUUUUCUGGUCCCUAUAUAUGGCUUAUGUUUCACUGGUUUUCAACUGUCAUAAACACUGUCACAAGCCUCUCUGCUGCCCCCAACAGCACUGGAGCACUCCUGUUCUUGUUAUUCAGUGUGCGACAUAACAAUCUGAAGUGCUCUGGAAAAUAAAAGAUUUCAUUUAUUGAGGUGUAAAACAUUUUGUGGAAAAAAUGACUUCACCUUUAGUGUCAAAAGGCUUGAUAAAGUGCACUCAAAUGCGUCUUAUUCAAAAACUCUGUGAUCUCAUUUAUCAUCAUUGUAGAUUGAGUGCUUAAUGUAACUGAAGCCAAACAACGCAGAACACAAAGCCUAAGGCAUAAUGAAGCCAUCGGAUUAAAAAAAUAAUGAAACCUACCCAUGCUCCACAGAGCGCUCCCCAUAAUCUAGUCUCUUCUGGAGCUCAACCCUCUAAUGAAGUCUUGAUAGUUUUGGCAACAGAGGUUCAAAAGUUAUUGGAUAAUGGAAAAAAAUCGCAAUCUCUCCCUUUGAAGCUUGAACUACAUGGAAUGAACCACAGUUGAGGAAAACAGUGACUAAAGAUAUUAGAUCACCAGGUAAACAGCUGUAAACAGUAAUCUACUUGAAGCAACGUGACCUCCUCAAACAUCUUUGUAGCACUACAAUAUGGUUCUGUUUCACCCAGCACCAGGUAAAGUUUGAGAAAGAUUUUUACAUAAUGAGCAUAAAUCCAUGAACAGACCAUUAUCGCUAAAAAGGAAUGUUAUUCCAAUGUUAAAAUACUUUGUCCAAAGCCAGUUUAAUGUGUGGAGAAAACUACAGUAUACGUAAGCCAUUCAUCUAGUAGUAGACUGACUUCCUGAAAAAUAUAAACACUGUGGCUCUGAAACACUUUCAGCAAUGCUCAGUUUAUUCUAGCGAUCCAGCUUGUCAACAUCUGGCUCAACCAGUGCCGUUUGAGGCAAAACUACCUGUUGGCUGAAGGGAUAGUAAAUGUGCUUUAGAAACCUAAAUUGGGGAAGUUAUUACUUUUACAAUUCUAUUUGGAUGCUUAUAAAUACCAGUUCAUUCCAGUUCCAGUUCACUCUAAAAAAUAAAUGUUCCUAAAAAGGGUUUUCACAGUGAUGCAUUAAAUAACCAUUUUGGGUUCCACAAAGAAUUUUUCAGAGAACAGUUUUAAAAGAACCAUUUUUUUUUCUUAGUGUGAAGAACAUUUUUAAGGGGUCCUAUUAUGCUUUUUCUCUUUUUCAACUUUAGUUAGUGUUUAAUGUUGCUGUUUGCGCAUAAAAAUAUCUGCAAGGUUACAAAGCUCAAAGUUCACUCUAAAAGGAGAUGUUGUCUUUAACAGAAAACACUUUUCAAGAACUACAACAACUGGCUCGUUCGGACUACAGUGAGCUUCUUCUGGAUAUUGUGAAGUCUGGAUAGAGUGAUGUCACUCAUUUCGAUUGUGUACAUGCAACCAUAGUAUAUGGUGUAGAUACCAAAUAUAAAGAACCAAGGCCUGGUUGAGCUGUGCUAGAGAAGACGAAGCAGAAGAGCUGCUUUAGUAGAGUGUCGAAGAGAUACUGUUUCUUCCACCCUGGUUCCAAAACCCCUUUAUUUAUGCUUACAAAGGUUCUACAUGAUCCUCUUGUUCAUAAACAUUCUCAGGGUCUGAAUCAGGGCUUGAAUUGGUAGGGCAAAAUUGACGGCAUCGUUAAUAUUUACAGCUGAGCGGGUGUAACUCGUAGUUAUGGUAAGGGGUGUGUCAUUUCCAGAACAUGCACUGAGCGGUUCGCUAAUCACAACGCACUGGGUCAGCUAGCCAGUCAGAGAACAUUUCGAGUUUCAGAAGAAGGGGCUUCAUCAAAACAGGACAGGACAGCAUUCAAGACAGUCUGGGAAGGGAGGUUCUGCAAUAAUGUAAAUUAUGUGAAAAAUAAUGGCUUUUUGGAACAAUCAAGCAAGAUGAAAACCUAUUCUAGUACACCCCAAAACCUAAAUCAAGACUUCUUAAUAGGACCCUUUUAUAAACUAAAGAAUGUUUUUCCAUAUAAUGAACCUUCUGGGUGAUGAAAAGUUCUAUGGGUGUUAAAGGUUCUUCAUGGAAACAUUGAUGCCAAUAAAGAACCUUUAUCCUUGUAUCUACAUUAUCUACUAUUGGUGCUAUUUUACUGUCUUCACUAUUAUCUAUUACUGGUGCUGCUAUUACUAUCUACACUAUUGAAACUGUAGUAUUGCCAUCGAUUUCAACAAGAAGGUCCUGUUAUCAGUGCAGAACAUGACAACUAUGGUAUAAGAACUCUUGGCACAACAUUAAAAUAGAGAAACAUUAUUUUUUGACUUGUUUUAUUAGUACCUUAUUGAGUAAAAUCUUAAUUAUAAAACACAUAAGACAUUUUGAAACAACAUUAGACCCCAACUUCAUUGUAUGGCCAAAGAAACACUACAGAAUGCUCUUAAAAACCUUUUCUGAAACCUUUUCAUUUCUGAAAAAAGUUAUAGGUUUGAAAUGACAUAAAAACUCCAUCAUCAUUUACUCACUCUCAUUUUGGGGUGAACUAUCCCUUUGAAGUAAAAUAUGCACCCUUUAGAAGUAUAUAGGUACAAAGGUGUACCUUUGAAAGUAUUGCCCCAGUAUUCCAGACAAGCCAAUCUUUUGCACAAUCCUUUGACAGCAUAUCCUGACCAAUUACUUGGUGAACACUUUUAUUCAACAUCACAUAACAAGUAGGUUUUGCUCAUUAAAAUUGCAAUUUUUCUUAAUUGCAUUUCUUAACAAGGUUUUUAAGGUUAUAAAGUCAGCUUGCCAUAUAGAAAGUUGUCAGCGUUUUAAACAUAAAACAUGUUCUAGACAUCUCUCCAUGCUCCCUCGAUGAGGUCAUGUGUAGAGAAGUCUGGACAUAAGAAUGUCUGCAUGAUCCAACUGCACAUUUUAUAGUUUGCCCAUUGCAUUCGUUAAGGUCAGAUAAGAAAAGCAAGAAUGAUUUUAAUGACCUCAGCAGCACCCAGCUGAUUCCCGUCCAGGGCUCUGCAGAAAGAAUGAGAGGAAUGCAUUGGAGCGUAGAAACAAACAAUUGCACUUUGUUCCCUGCUGCGACGAGAGGCUUAUAUUCAGCCCACAGAGAAAGAUUCCUCAUGCCACCCUCAAAGGAAGCAGCUCACUGCCUAGUGAACCAAAGUACAUAGCUCCUUCACCACAUCAAAGAGUGCAAAAAUAUGUGCUGGGAUCUACUAAUGUAUUCAAAAAUGCAUUCAAAUGCAAUGCAUUAAAUACAUACAAUGACUUAAAUACACCUAUUUAAUGAACAAGUCAUGAUAUCAUGAAGAAAAACCUUCAUUAAAGAAAAUAAAAUAAAAAGAAAUUAGUAAAAAUGUAUAAGAAGUCUGGCAUAAACUAUUAUUAUUAUUAUUAUUAUUUCUUGAGAAUCAAAUUUAAAAAUAAAAAAAUAGUAAUAUUAUAACAAAAUUUCUUCACUGCUUUUUUUUAAAACUUUUAUAUGCAAAAUCAAAGUCAUGUGGUGUCAACAACAGUCAUGUGGUGUGACCAAUAUACAGAAGAACCAUGCAAUCAAUCAAUCAAUCAAUCAAUCAAUCAAUCAAUCAAUCAAUCAAUCAAUCAAUCAGUCAGUCAAUAAAAAAUGAUAUAGAGAGGCAGACAAAGUCUCUUGAAAUAUCAGCUAAUUUCACCUUUUAAUGACAAAUCAAUGUUAGUUCAGGUUGUAAAAUAUAAUGUGUAAAAAAACUUAUUUAGGCAUGCAUGCUCACAUAUAUUCUAAGUGUGGGGAAAGUAUGUUAUUCAUUUUUACCUCAUAGUUACACCACAUGACAUUUUUAGAUAGGUUACAUUUAAACUUUUGAAAAUCAUAAACAUAUUUAGAAAUAUCAUGGCACAUUUGUUUUAAAAUAGAUUUUUAAAAUAAUUUUUCUUUUCUUUUUUUUUUUUAUCAAGACACUCAAAAUUAAGCAUUCCCAAAAUCCAUGCAGAAAGUGUAUAAUUAUUAGCAUAAUCUCAAUUAUUAGUGAAACAAACCCUAAGAACAAUACUGCCGAUGUGUCAAAAGGUCACGGCUACUUACAGUCUCGGUUGUUUGAAAUGUCAGACAGUUCAAAACCUUGAGGCUGAAGUGUUUCCCGAGACGUAUUUAACAUGGCAACUGGACUGGCUUGCUUAGCAUGCACUGGGAAUUGAAGUGAACUCAACAGUUGAUGGCUUGACAGCUAAUUUAGCCGCUGCAUCAAACACUGAACAUCACAGGACUUCGGUAUAGUUACAGAAGCUAAGGCUCUAAAGUUACAGUGAAACCAUGAUGCUUUAGAAGUCUCUCAGCACAGGCAGCCACUCCCUGGGUUUCUGUCCGUCUAAUGUGGUCUGGCAAGAGCAUUGUGCACACGUCUCGCUCUGACUUUUAUUAAACGGGGCGUUUGUAGUUUGAUGAAGGUUCCCCUCCAAAACCACCCCACCCACCGCCUGUUAACAUCACCUCAAGAUCAAAAGAGGCUAAUCGCCGCUACGGCUGCGGUUCACCUUAUUAGCUGAAAACUUUUUGUGAGGCUGAACGUGUAUGUCAUGCACCCAUUAAAUUAAUCUCAAAAAAAGGACAAAGGUAGGACUGCAGACGAUUUUAUUUGAGUAGGUCAAAUAAAAAAGGGUUUUACUUUAUUAAAAAAACUUUAUUGACAAUCAACAUACAUUGGUGAUAUUUACAGAAAAACCAUGUCUAGACGUUGCAUUGAGCGCAUCCAAAAUACUGCUCCAGCAGAAGAAUAUAUUCCAGCAGUGCAAACCACAAGCUGAACCACCCAAAUUAUUGCAGCCUGGCCAUUUGAAUAACACUUCCCUGUGCUGCGAUCAUAAAUAAUUCAACACGUGUACUUACUAGCCUAACCUCUCUUUAAAACCUGCCAAAACUCAAACUCAGGAUUGAAGAUGAACCAGGCGGUUUCAACUUCAAUCUGAACAGUGCACUAUGAUCUGAACCGCUCCUUUAUUCAUUUAUUAAGAUAAUUUGAAGUUGCUAACACACGAGCUUCCACAGCAUUGAGAAAGGAGCUUGUUACUGCUGAUAGUCUUCACAGGAGCGCGCUCUCAUCCUGCAGCUGAUGAGAGACGUUUGUCAAGGGUUGGUUGUGGAAGUUUGAGGCAAAGUCGAAUUGAGGGUCGACAGCAUGAUAUGGAAAUGCCGCCUGUGAGCUUUUAUCACCUCAGUGUCACGCAGGAAGCAUUUGUCACCACUUCAAAACCAAUCCGACAUUUUCAAGUAAUGACUGGGAAAUGUCAGGAGCUAAAGGAAGUCAGGUGGCAUUGAAAAAAGCUGAAGUCUACAAGCUGCAAGAUUUGUCAAAGUCAAUGAAAAUUUACAUAACACUAUUUACUUUUACAUUGUACUACUAGGGUAAAUCUCACACCAAUUUGUAAAAAAUUGAACGCGUUAAUAUUUUUUUAACGCAAAUUAAUCGCUUGAUAAGGUUAGACCCCAACUUCUUCCCGUCAUCGCAGCGUGGAAGGUCAUCUAUUAUUGUGUGAUGAGUGUAAGUUACAGCGAACCAGUGUUGCCAUGGUAACGGCACAAGUGGGCUAUUUUGAAAAUACAGUCGCGGGAAAAAAAUUACAGAGCCGUGGGUUGCGUUUUUUUGGGCUACUUUUUUAAUGUACCGCGGCCGCUCAAAGUGUAUAUAGACAAAUAAAAAUUAAUAUAGAUCCUUUUACUAAUGUGUAUUAUACUUGGAAUGUAUCCCUGACAACUUAAGAACUGAGAGGCGGUUGUAACAUCAAACAACGUGAGUUUCAGCAGAGCACAUGUUAAGGCUUUUACACAGCAGAAAUAACAACAGCCACUAUAGAUUAUAUUAGAUAAUAAACACACGAUUACAAUAGAUAUGGUCUGUAUGUGAUUUUCUUGAGGUGAAUGUGUGUAUCUGAAUGCUAAUUUGUGCAGCGAUUAUAAAAGGCUAUAAAUAGUAUAUUUUAACAACAGUAAACGACCAAAUUCCACAUGUGAUCGUAAAAGGAAGUUAUUACAAACACUCGAUGGUGGUUUGAAGUGAGUUCUGAGUAAAAGUGUACUAUCAAUCUCAUAAAUUGUCUUAUGUACAGAGGUGGGUAGUACCGAGUUAUAUUUACUUCGUUACAUUUACUUGAGUAAAUUUUUUGGGUAACUAAUACUUUUAGAGUAUAUUUAAAAAUGGGUACUUUUACUCUUACUCAAGUAAAUUUUUAGUGAAAAAACGGUACUUUUACUUCAUUACUGUGGGCGACGCUCCUCUCGUUAUUUUAUCUUAAUGCAAUACAAGUUAAAAAUCCUUCAAUUUAUUCCAAACUACUUUUUUUCUGGGCAAUGAGCGAUGCCCGUUCGCGAAUGAUUCAUUCUUUUGAGUCAGUUCUGUUCGAAGGCUUGAUCAAACCAGUUGGCAAACCAAUGAAUCGGUUCGCGAAUCAGUUUGAAUGAUUUGUUCAGUUCCCUGCCGCACGCACUGAGUCGUCUGAAGCGGUUCUCACUCAGAGUUGUAACAUCAAGAGCCUUGAAGACGUGGCUUUGGAUCAACAGUCAGUUGAAAGCAAAGGCUAUGGUUUGCUAGCUAUGAAGAUCUUUAUUAGACGAACAUCGCGUGUGCUGUCGGUUCCACAGAAAGCAGUGGGUGACCGAUCAGCACCGCCACGAGCAGCGCACGGAUUCACCCGCACCUGGACACGACUGAGAGCACCUCGGCGAGCAAGAGCACCACCACCACUCACGUAGUCACCUGUCUUUCAAUAAAAUCCACCCUCCAGGGCCGUAAACUGAGCUCUCCUUGUCGCAUGAUCCUUCCACCCUGCCACACUGGUGGAGAAUGCAGGCAAGUUAGUGGAAGGAACACCGACAAGCGAUCUCCCUGCAUCUCACCAUUCUUUUGUUUGUUUCUUCUGUCUCCCCUCUGCCAGGCGGCCGCUCCUCCCCGACAUGGACGAAAUCCUCCAGCGGCUUGCGGAGAUCAGCAUCCGCCAGCAGCAGAUUACUGAACAUCUUGCUGCCCGACACGGCAACCGCGCGACACAUUGCGCUGCCGGACCCCCAUUGGUUAUUGGAUGGGGAUCCCACCGCUGCCAAGGUAAAGGUGUGCCGUCAUCGACCGACUCCUCCGGGCUCUCCCGUUGACCCACCACCAAGCUGUCGGGAUGCGGAACCCCGCCACCAUUGCCGAACUCGUAGAGGCCGUGGAGCUGGCGGAUGCUGCCCAACUCCAGGAUGCUGGGGAGCGAGCGCUGCCGUUCCCCCGGAGGCUGGUCCAGGAGCAACGCGCGCCGGAAGGCACCCUACGACCAGUAGUCAGGCCGGGGGCUCCCGCUCCUGGGGACGAGCCCAUGCCAACAGAGGUUCCAACACCUCCCAUACGGACGUAGCUGGAAGGCUGUAUUGUGCACCGUGACCUGCCCGCAGGGGCUCCAGAAGUGGAGGUAAAGAUCAACGGCCGCCUGUUCCCAGGCUCUACUGCAGUGCGGUCAGCCUGGUACAGUACUGCAUCCUCACACCCCGCGGGGAAACCAAAGCUUCCCUCCCGAUCACUUGUGUGCACGGAGACAUGCGACACGUACUGGCCCGGGGAGUGACCAUCUCGGCUGCCCCGCACUUGACCGGUGGAAGUGGGGGUAGUGAAGGAUCUGCCGGUCCCCGUUCUUCUUUGGAGGGAUUGGCCAAGGUUUGACCACCAGAGGGAGCCGCCGGGGGAAAAGGCCGGCGAGAGGAGCCCGUCAACGCCCCGCCUUGCUGGCCUCGGACAGCGGGAGAGAUGGUGAGUCCCCUCAACAUAAUUCUAACCUCUUCCUUAACCUAUAUCAGCAGGUGACAGGAGGCGGUUCAUUCGCCAAGGAACAGCGCGAGGGCGACCGUCUAAAGCACUGCUGGACUCAAGUGUGCUUUGUAGAGGGAAAGGAGACACAACUGGGUCCCCAUCCUCCCCCGCAUUUCAUCGUCCGAAACGGCCUGCUCUACUGUGUAGCGUGGCGAAGGGGGGAGGAAAAAACCCUACUGGCGGUGCCACAGACGAAGAUGAAGACGAUGCUGGAUUUGGCACACUCGCACCCGCUUGCUGGUCACCUUGGAGCGGCCAACACCACCCAACGGGUUCGUGACCGCUUCCACUGGCCGGGACUGGAGGCCGAAGUCAAACGUUUCUGUCAGUCCUGCUCAGCCUGCCAGAAAACGUCUCCAAGGACGCAUCCCCCCAGCCCGCUGAUUCUGCUGCCCAUCAUCGAGGUGCCCUUCGAGCGCAUCGAGAUGGACCUGGUGGGGCCGUUGCCUAAGUGUGCCCAGGGGCACGAACACAUCCUGGUCAUCGUCGAUUAUGCCACCCGGUAUCCGGAAGCAGUGCCCCUUCGAAAGGCCACCGCCAAGUCCUUCGCCCACAAGCUCUUUCUGCUCUGUAGCCGGGUAGGCAUCCCCGCCGAGAUACUGACCGACCCGACCAGGGGACCCCCUUCAUGUCCCGGCUAAUGGCUGACCUGUGCACCCUGCUCAAGGUGAAGCAGCUGAGGACCUCCGUAUACCACCCCCAGACUGACGGCCUAGUUGAACGGUUCAAUCAAACCCUCAAACAAAUGCUGCGACGAGUGGUAGCCGAGGACAAGCGAGACUGGGACCUCAUGCUGCCAUAUGUACUGUUUGGUAUGGGAGGUACCUCAGGCUUCGACCGGCUUCACCCCUUUCGAGCUGCUGUUCGGACACCAGCACCGGGGGCUGCUGGAUGUGGCGAGAGAAGCGUGGGAACAACAGCCCACACUCCCACCGCUCCAUGAUCGAACAUGUGAAAGAGAUGAGGGAACGAAUCGACCGGGUCUGCCAUUAGUCCGGGAACAUCUCACCAAGGCUCAGCAGACGCAGCAGUGACAUUACAACCGAGCCACCCAGCCUCGAGAAUUCCAGCCUGGAGACCGAGUGAUGGUCCUUGUCCCCAACUCAGCCUGCAAAUUCUUGGCCAGCUGGCAGGGCCCAUAUACCGUCACGGAGAAGAUUGGUCCUGUCACUUACCGUGUCCGCCAGCCGGGACGGCGGACAGCAGACCAACUAUAUCACAUUAACCUACUGAAGAAGUGGGUGGGGACAAGGGACCAGCUCGCAGCCCUCACCACAGUGGAGACGGUGGUCGUGGACGUCAACCCACAGGUUGGUCUGGUUAGUCAGUUCGCCAAUGUGUUCUCCCCAACCCCCGGGCGGACCCAGGUCCUCCAUCACGAAAUCCGCACACCACCAGGAACCAUCGUCCCAGAGGCUCGUCGGCAGGCUAUUUAGGAGGAAAUCCAACAAAUUAUGAAGUUAGGGGUGAUUGAACCAUGCCCUUGGUCUAGCCCUAUCGUCAUGGUACCAAAACCAGAUGGCACCCUCCGCUUCUGCAACGACUUCCGCCGCCUCAACGAAGUCUCGGAGUUUGUGACGUAUAUAUGUUGUAGUAUAUUAUGCUGCCGUCACAUGCUAUCGGAAAUUUCCUAUUUCCCACUUAUGAAGUCGUGAUUAUGAGCUUGUCGUAUUCAAGUGCUUUAAUGUCGGAAAGAAUAAAAUGUAGCAUCCCACUGGUUGACAAUCAUAUAAACAUUCUCCGCGCUACACAUGCUGUUUGCUGACAAUUCUGGACUUUCGGUCAAAUACAUGCUUAUUUCACUGCUUAUAAAACAUACAAUACGCUUCGAAUGAUCGUUCAUAUCGUUCUUUAAGUACACUACUUUAGCGACAAGACAAAGGGAAGUCAGCAUUGACAGCAACAAUGGUUGUCCCCUCCACCAUGUUUAAAGUUUAUGACCCGCCGAACUCAGAAAAUCUGGUUUCAAAAUUAUUUCCAAAUUUCCCAGUAGUAAAUACGACUUGAGAGGCCAUUCACGUCCAAUUUCCGAUUAGGAAACUCGUAUUUACGAUAAUUCCUAUAGCACGUGAAGGCAUUAGAUUUGUGCAUUCUGUCUUAAAGUGACAGCAGCCUAAUAAACCUGCUGCUGUCUGUUAUUUAAUGUUAUUAAUGUAGCAUUUGGGUAAUUUUGCAAUUUAACUAUAUGAAAUCAAGUUGGUUGAUAUACCAGUCAAUAGUAAAUUUCUUUGCCAAUGAGCCACCUCUCGAGAUUUCAACAGAUAAUGUCUGUUAUGAUUUUUGGUCAUGGUGAAGUGUCUCUAAAGUGCUGACAUGUUUACCUGUCAUAGCUAAUCCACGUUGUGUGCAUCAAAUAGAAGCUGACGCAAUUCAAACGCGUCAUUGGAGUAGCGCUACAGUCAAUCAAUGAUUUAAUCCGUCCAAAACUAUUUUGACCAAAACCUUUUUUUUCCCUGUUUCAGCCGAAUACAUUCAGCUGCCAAAAUUUGGGUGCAUCUCUAGUUAUGGACCAUUUGCAUUAUGGUUAAAUAAGCCGAUCUAAAGUGAUUGUACUCGGCAUAGAAGUUGCAUCAAAGCACCAAACACAAAUACUCUGUUUGCACAGACUUUAACACUGACCUUUUUAUUGACGCACAGAGGUGGCCUAAAUGUAUUUACAGAGGAAUCACAAUCACAAGAAACAAUCACAUGCUCAUAUAUCGAUUACUAAUUUGCAUGCAUUUGAGAAGCCUCUGUCAAUCCAACUGCUUUCUUGUGAUGCAACAGACAGCAGCUUACUGAGAGUGGUUUAAAAUAUGCAGUACUGCGCAAAAAUGUUUGUUUUAAGAUGGUUAUUUAUAUCUUUUGCUUUAGUGUGCCAGUAGGAAAUAUCAAUUUUAGAUUUCCAAACAGAUCUCUGUGUGGACCAUCUGUUGUAGGACUUUCUGUUCAUACAAAAAGCUUGUUAGACGUAGAUCUGUCACGAAAAGUUAAAAUAUUUCUUAUUUUGAUGAAAUCUUUGGAGGCCAGCAAACCUGAUUAAUAUAAAUAUAAUUUGUGUGAAACUCUAAGGACCAAGAAUCUUUGGCUUGACACGAAUGUUAAACAAUAGUAAAAUUAUUUUGUGUUUUGUUUUGGCUACAGAAUUUAAUUUGUUUUUGUUUGUUUUUAUUUUUUUUUAAGUGAAGUUAUGGGCUAUUUGAAGCACUAAUUUGAUGCCUUAAUAAACCAUAACACCUUUCUGAAACCUUUAAUUAAAGGGUGUUAAUGUUUAUUACUGACUGACUGACUGACUGCACAUGUUCACAUGCUCUAAUUAUUUUGAAUGCAUUUACACACACCCAGUUUCACACAGAUCUAAAACAGCCACAUAAGUUCAGCCGGUUGACCUGGCUGGAGUGAUUGUCAACGCACAUUCCCACCCAUGGAAGGCCUCUCAGGAAAGCAACACCCAGGUCAUCUGCUUUAUUUAUUUACAUUCCUCCGAUCGGCAGGAUCCUCCAGAGACAGGGCACAGAAAUAUGCUGUGGAAGGGUGUGGAGCACCUCUGGGACAACACAGGACAGCGCCUUCACCAACACCAGCCUAUUAUCAUACACUCACACCAUUGUGCUCUCAGAAAAGCUCACUGUGUACGAGAACAAUGCGUUACAGUAACCACCUUCACAAGAUUACUCUGUGAUAGCUUGCUAUUAAUCCAUAUUUAUAGAUUUUGUUCUCUGUCCACCCUUCAUGACAGGUACAGGAGAAGCAACUUAAGCCUAAAACAUGAAAGUAGAUACUUCUAGAUAUACAAAUUUGAUUUUACACAUUGUUGACACAUGAAAUCAGGUGGCAAAAAUAAGUCAGAAUGGGGGGUGUGGAAUUGCCAAAAAUUACAUCUCAUUAUUUUCUGAGAUUUUGUCGAUGAUGUUAAUUAGACAAUAUUUUGCAGAGUGUUUUUUUGCUGGUACCUGGGCUGGUUUAGACCUGUCAUGAACAGCUGAUUCCCCAAGAUUUUCAUAUUUUUCAUAUUUGCCCCAUUAAAUGGAUUUCCAGGGGCCUUUUUUACGUUAAAGGGCAAUUUUUCUAUGUGUAUUAGAUAUGCAUUAUCGUUUAUGUUAAAUUAUUUCUUUUAAUCAAUAAAUUCACUUAGAAUAACAAGACACUAUAGGGGUGUUACCAAUCAAACUAAAUCAUUAUCAGUAUUGGCAAAAUAGAGCAUAAACAGACAAAAUUGACAAUAUUAUAUCUGAAAUGUAACUUACAUUAUGAACUUAUUGUUUAUUGUAUUGUUGUAUUCUGCUGAUAUUCGGGAAAAACAGCACUCAUGCAUGCAUGAUAUUGCUUAACUAUCUCACAUGGUAUAAAUAUAAUGGACAAAACUAGUCCACUAAUAAUUAUUGUAGUUUAUUCAAAUUGCACAUCCCUAGUCAGAAAUUUAACGUUACAGGUAUGAAUUGCAUUCUUAGUGUUGCCACAAGGGGUGCUAUAGAGAUCACAGUAUUGCAUAAUCUGUCUUUUUUAGGGUCAGUUUUCUCUCCCGGGACAACUAAUGUCAAGGCGAAGCAAAAUUUGUGAAAAAAAUUAAAUCUUGCAGAGCUGGUUAAAUUAAUAAAAUGGUUGACAUGUUUAGACUGAGAUUUUGUUUUUGUUAGUGAUGUGGUUGUUUUGUACAGGAGCCUGUUUCUGCACUGAAUAAGAAUAAAAAUAAAAAAGGUAACUGUGACUUUUUAUCUCACAAUUUGGACUUUUUCUCUAAAUUUUGAGUUAACAUAUCGCAUUUGUUUCCACCACAGAAUAAAAAAAAGGUAAUUGCAAAUUUUAUCUCACAAUUACUUUUUCCCCUCAAGAAUUUUCAAGAAAAAAAGUGUACAGAAUAAGAAAAAAUAAGAAAGAAAAUUGUGAGAUAUAAACUGCAAGAAUUGCAACAGUCUGAAAUGUAAGACAAGAAGUCUUAAUUACCUUUUUCUUCUAUAGUUUUGGACCUUAUUGACUUUCAUUUCAUAAACAAAAGUAUUCUUCAAAAUAUCUUUUUGUUCCGUAAAAUUGGAAUGAGGUUGAGUAAUUGAUGAAUUUCCGUGGUUGGAUGAACUAUCCCUUUCAAAUAUAGGCUAUAAAAUGGGUCUUCAUGCUUGCAAUGUACUAAUGUCUGUUUGUGUACUUACAGAGUAUGUUUUUAGCCUUAGAGUAUCUCUGUGUAUCUAAUAUAUUGCAUCACAAGACUGUUCAGUAGAAACGUAACUGGAUGUCAGUGGCAUAGGUCAAUAUUAGGACAUGACUUGCUAAAGGGACAGAGCACCAGAGGAAAAACAUGUUUACUGUUAAGGUGGAAUGUUUUAAAUAUUUUAAAUUGUCCCUGUAGAGUUAGUCAGAGUAUUUGCUCAUGGAGGACAACCACAUUUCAGUGAAAAUCCAGUGCAAAUCUGAAGCAUCUGAAGUGCAGAGUUCAUCUAGGCCCGGUAUUACCUGUGUGACAUAGAGAGCAUGAAAAAGACACAUUUUUUUGUUUGACGUUACACUGAACGCCUGCUUUAUUCCCUUUUGCUAGGCCAGUAGGAAAUGUUUCAGAGAUUACCAGCACUCUGCUGAUGAGUGUAAACAUGGAGCAGAUGGUGAGUGACUGCAGCUCCGGUAAGAGGAGCCUGUGAGGGGGAAACUUGGCUGGAUCGUGAACGUUACUGAACUGAGCUCAGGCUAUACUGAGAGUGUGAAAAUGCUCACAUAGGAGUAAAGUAUACAUUUCCUCAUGAGGAAAGAACAGACACUAUCUUGUUUAUAUACUAUAAAGAAUUCUGUUUCUGGGUCAUUUUUGGGGGGUUUUUCCACUGGAAAGAUUCUUCAUUUUUCUCUUGUUUUUUCUGUUGACUGAUUUUAAAGUCACUAUGAAAUAGAAACAACAACAGAUUUACCUCACAAUAUGGAAGAAAAAUCUUUGGUAUUGUGACAUACACCCAGGUGGACCCUUUUCAUAGAUUGUGAUGAUGCAUUCCACAGUUAUUAACAUCAUAAAUCUAUUUUUUAUAUAUAUUUUAUUUUUAAAUGUUUAAAUGAUGUACAUUUAUAAGACUGAACUUUGUGUUAUAUUACUUUAGUAUAACAUUUCGCUGCUUAACGUUGCUGUGUCAAGUGUUUCUAUCACCAUGGCUGCGGGACUGACAGAUUUAACAUCAAUAUUUUAUUUUUUAUUUUUUGGAAGUCAAAAACGCUAUAGUGGAUUUUAUCUUUCGCAAUUGGAUCAAAUGGAAACUCAAAAAUUAUGUUUGUUGUAGUUUCCAAAAAAGUUCAAAUAUGAUGACGUCCGCUUCUGAGAACCCCGUAAAUUUGAAAAGGUCCAUGAAUGAAUGAAUGAGGCAUUUAUAUAGCACUUUUUAUUGUGUAUUGCAAUACACCCAAAGCGCUUUACAUCAUGUGGGGGGGGUCUCUCCUCAACCACCACCAGUGCGCUCACCACACACCAGCUACAGGUGGAGAGAAGAGAGAGUCAUAGAGCCAAUCAAGUGGAUGGGGAUUAUUGGGAGGCCAUGAUUGCCAAGGGCCAGUGGAGGGAAUUUGGCCAGGACACCGGGGUUACACCCCUACUCUUUACGAGAAGUGCCAUGGGAUUUUUAAUGACCACAGAGAGUCAGGACCUUGGUUUAACGUCUCAUCCGAAAGACAGUGCUUUUUACAGUAUAGUGUCCCCGUCACUAUACUGGGGCGUUAGGACCCACACAGACCACAGGGUGAGCACCCCCUGCUGCCCUCACUAACGCCUCUUCCAACAGCAACCUAGUUUUUCUCAGGAGGUCUCCCAUCCAGAUACUGACCAGGCUCAGCCCUGCUUAGCUUCCAUGGGCAACCAGUCUUGGGCUGCAGGGUGAUAUGGCUGUUGUUACAUGGUUUAUUGAAAAAGAGAAAAAUGAAGGUUGAAACUUAGUUUUGUCCAUCGAUUGUUGAUUGGAUGGAGGCGGAUCUGAACAUGCAAGAGGCAGGGGUUAAACAGACGAAAUGACAGGAGAAGUCUGGCAUACAUAACCAGAGAGAAGUAAUGGCAAUUUGAUUAAACAUUGCAAGGUCCAAAAAAAAAAAAAAAAA